rnacentral:rRNA from 1 species
UACAGAGGUCUCAAGCGUUGUUCGGAUUCAUUGGGCGUAAAGGGUGCGUAGGUGGCGAGGUUAGACAGGUGUGAAAUCUCGGGGCUCAACCCCGAAACUGCACUUGAUACUGCCUUGCUAGAGUACUGGAGAGGAGAUUGGAAUUUACGGUGUAGCAGUGAAAUGCGUAGAUAUCGUAAGGAAGACCAGUGGCGAAGGCGAAUCUCUGGACAGUUACUGACACUGAGGCACGAAGGCCAGGGGAGCAAACGGG